rnacentral:rRNA from 1 species
UACGGGGGGGGCAAGCGUUGUUCGGAAUUACUGGGCGUAAAGGGCUCGUAGGCGGCCAACUAAGUCAGACGUGAAAUCCCCAGGCUCAACCUGGGAACUGCGUCUGAUACUGGAUGGCUUGAAUCCGGGAGAGGGAUGCAGAAUUCCAGGUGUAGCGGUGAAAUGCGUAGAUAUCGAGAGGAACACCUGCGGCGAAGGCGGGUUGCUGGGCUGAUACUGACGCUGAGGCGCGAAAGCCAGGGGAGCGAACGGG